rnacentral:misc_RNA from 1 species
UAAUAAGUGUUUUAUGGCACUUUUUAAAUCCAUAUCCACCUUGUGUGCAAUGUCAGUCGAUCUUCUUCAUGGAGAUCGACCAAACAUCAACCUUUAUCUUUUAACUCUUUGUCUGAAAAAUAUUAUGAAUAACCAAUUCAAAAUA